rnacentral:piRNA from 1 species
UGAAGAAGAACCGAGACUACCCGCUGGCCUC